GUGAAAAUGACAUCCCCGAAAGACACUAGACCGUCUUCUCAGAACCUAAAUCACCACAGCUGUGUAGGGUGUUGUGUUCAGGGAUCGAUCUGCAUCGGGCCACGGUUUCCAGUGGUAACAAUACAGGCUCAGUAUUUCAAUGUGACAAGCAACCUCAGCAGUAACAUAACACUUGUCGUGUGUGUGUGUGUGUGAUUUGGGUGUGUGUAAUGUAAGCGUGUGUCUACGUGUAUUUGUGCUUGUAUGUGCCCAGCUGUAAUGUGUGGGUGUGUGUGUGUCAAUGUCCACAGGUUUUUCAUACAUACACUGUGAAAGCCUCCUCAAUCAUUUAGUUGCUGAGGCACGUUAAUGAUGGCUGCAUCCCUAGUGGCUCCCUAUGUAAAUUGUAUUAUAAAAUAAUAUUGACCGUAGACUCUAAUCCAAAGUAGCACACUUGUAAUGGGCCAAUCUUAUGAUAACAAAAAUUAACAUGCAACGUAUUCUACUUCUCCUUUCUGUAAUGUUCAUGAUUAUAUGCAUAAAAAGCAUAGGCAAGGCUGGUUGGGCAUGUCUAUGCCGAAGGUUGUUUUCCUGUUGCAACUGGAAUUAAACCAGAUAGAGCUUCAUCAACAACCGAUUCACCUGGAAAUUCCCUUCAGUCCACUCUACAGGAAAAGGUUGACAUUUAGGAGAUAAAAAGGGAUGUAUUUCUCCCCUGAAGGUAAUAUGUUCCGUUCUUCAGGAAACGUCAUGUAGCAGUUGCCUCAACUGCUAUUAGGCUAAACAAGCAGUUCAGACUGAGGCCACUCUCUCUGAGUCUGUGUGUGUGUGUGUGUGUGUGUGUGUGUGUGUGUGUGUGUGUCUAUCUUGCUAUGAACUGGAGACUAUUACUAUGAGACGAGGAUCCGUCAGUCGUGAUGGUACAUGCUUAAUGAAGUCAUGUCUUGGUGAAUACAUAGAAGGAUUCCAGAAGGAUACUUGGUACAUAAUUAGAUUCUAACGAGAGACACAGAUUAUUAAGUAAUAUAAUGAUUAAUUAGAAUUAAGAAAAAAAGCAUUUUAUUCUGAAUCGCGUAGCUUUGCCCGUCUCUUCGACGUCCGAACAGACUGCUCUACUUGGAACGGUACCCCUGGAGUUAUCAAUGAAGUGAGGAUUAAAAGUGACGGUUGUCUGAGAUCACACAGCCACAGUCCUUCUCAGUGGACAUUUUGUUCUGUUGGGGAGCUGGUUCAGUCCACUCCAUUUACAGAAUGCAGCAAUAACCAGCCUGGUCCUUCAUCUGUAAGUGCACUUUUGGUCCAUAUUGGUAUGUGUCAACAUGGCAGAAAGCAUACAGAGAUCAAGCACAGGUCAAAAUUAGCCUAAUUCUCACCCCGAUUAGGUAGAAAUGCUUUAGUGUGUACUUGGCUGUUAACGGAGCCCUGACCUCAUACGCUCACACCCUUCAUUUAUUUAUAAUGCGGAUUACAGCAAGUAGAGAGAGGCUGUUUGCGAUACCACCUCCGUCCACAUGGAGGAGCCCUAACUCAGUGCAGGGCACUUGGCACAGCUACUGUAUGUCGCAUUGAUGCACCAUCUUCCCUAUAGACUUCAAAGCUGGGCUCCUGUCUGCAGAGCAAGCAGGUUUGGAUAAUAAAUAGAUCCAGAAGCAGUUUGCACAAAAUCAGGGAUGUUACACACUUGCAAUGACGUCGCAACCCAGGACUACACCCCUGGCACCCCCUGGUCAAGAGUCACCAUCCACCCAGGCUAAAGAAACCUCUCAUCACCAUCCACCCAGGCUAAAGAAACCUCUCAUCACCAUCCACCCAGGCUAAAGAAACCUCUCAUCACCAUCCACCCAGGCUAAAGAAACCUCUCAUCACCAUCCACCCAGGCUAAAGAAACCUCUCAUCACCAUCCACCCAGGCUAAAGAAACCUCUCAUCACCAUCCACCCAGGCUAAAGAAACCUCUCAUCACCAUCCACCCAGGCUAAAGAAACCUCUCAUCACCAUCCACCCAGGCUAAAGAAACCUCUCAUCACCAUCCAUCCAGGCCAAAGAAAUGCCUUAUCACGGUCCAUCCAGGCUAAAGAAACCAGUCAAGCCAUUCUCAUGUCUUAAUUGUCACAGAACACCCAUUUCGGGCUUUGUUUAACCUUGAGUUCGAUGUCAACCCCCCCACUCUUUCCCUCAUCCCCGUCCACGAACUUUAAACUAAGCCCUAUUAAAACUUUGCUCUAAGCCUUAAUAAGUGUUUGGUUCCUUGGAAGAGUUUUGUAAAUGGCUAUAAUAGAACAUUUGGGACUUUGUUCAUAGGGCUUAUGAAAUGAUAGGCAGACACGUGGAGUGGUUUGGAAUACAGAGAGGUUUCAUAGGCCCAUAUGUUGCAGUAAAAGGAGAUUCAAUAAAAUAUCAUUUUUAGAAGGUC